rnacentral:pre_miRNA from 1 species
UAUCUACUCUAUCCGUCUUAAAAAAUUUAUCUUAGAUUUGUGUAGAUAUGAAUGUAUUUAGUCACAAUUUAGUAUUAAAAUACAUUUAUUUUUACAUAAAGCUAAGACAAGAAUUUUGAGACGAAGAAAGUAUGUU